CGGCCGCGUCGACGCAUGGGGAGCGAACAGGAUUAGAUACCCUGGUAGUCCAUGCCGUAAACGUUGGGCACUAGGUGUGGGGACCAUUCCACGGUCAGCGGCCAAGCGAAAGCAUUAAGUAUCCCACCUGGGGGUACGCCGGCAACGGUGAAACUCAAAGGAAUUGACGGGGGCCCGCACAAGCGGAGGAACAUGUGGUUUAAUUCGAUGAUACGCGAGGAACCUUACCCGGGCUUAAAUUAUGCAUGAAUGAUCUGGAGACAGGUCAGCCGCAAGGCAUGUAUGAAGGUGCUGCAUGGUUGUCGUCAGCUCGUGCCGUGAGGUGUCGGCUUAAGUGCCAUAACGAGCGCAACCCUUUCUGCCAGUUACUAACAGGUAAUGCUGAGGACUUUGGCGGUACU
rnacentral:rRNA from 1 species